GAUGAAGAACGCAGCAAAAUGCGAUAAGUAGUGUGAAUUGCAGAAUUCAGUGAAUCAUCGAAUCUUUGAACGCACAUUGCGCCCCUUGGUAUUCCGAGGGGCAUGCCUGUUCGAGCGUCAUUAUAACCCCUCAAGCUCAGCUUGGUGUUGGGGCCUGCUGCACUGGCAGCCCUUAAAAUCAGUGGCGGCGCCAUCUGGCUCUAAGCGUAGUAAUUCUUCUCGCUAUGGAGUCCUGGUGGAUGCUUGCCAUCAACCCCCAAUUUUUCUAUGGUUGACCUCGGAUCAGGUAGGGAUACCCGCUGAACUUAAGCAUAUCAAUAAGCGGAGGA
rnacentral:misc_RNA from 1 species